rnacentral:rRNA from 1 species
CCUACGGGGUGCUGCAGUGAGGAAUAUUGGUCAAUGGACGCAAGUCUGAACCAGCCAUGCCGCGUGCAGGAAGACGGCUCUAUGAGUUGUAAACUGCUUUUAUACGGGAAUAACGCGCCUUACGUGUAGGGCUUUGCAUGUACCGUAUGAAUAAGGACCGGCUAAUUCCGUGCCAGCAGCCGCGGUAAUACGGAGGAUGCGAGCGUUAUCCGGAUUUAUUGGGUUUAAAGGGUGCGUAGGCGGUCCGUUAAGUCAGCGGUAAAAUUGCGGGGCUCAACCCCGUCGAGCCGUUGAAACUGGCAGACUUGAGUUGGCGAGAAGUACGCGGAAUGCGCGGUGUAGCGGUGAAAUGCAUAGAGAUCGCGCAGAACUCCGAUUGCGAAGGCAGCGUACCGGCGCCAGACUGACGCUGAGGCACGAAAGCGUGGGGAUCGAACAGGAUUAGAUACCCCUGUAGUC